GGCUGCUUAAUGUAGAAUAAUAUAGUAAUUCCCCUUGAGCAGAGGAUGUUCUUUAGAUGGAGAAGUCAUACCCCCACUUCUGAAGAGCACACCUCUG